GCUUAGCCCCGUUAAAUCUUCCCCGCAGAGUCGGUCUGCGGGGAAGAUUUAACGGGGCUAAGCAGUGAACCGAAGCUUGGGGUGUGCAUAUUUAUAUGUACGCGGUAGAGGAGCGUUCCGUAAGCCGUUGAAGGUGGAUUGAGAAGUCUGCUGGAGGUAUCGGAAGUGCGAAUGCUGACAUGAGUAACGAUAAUGCGGGUGAAAAACCCGCACGCCGAAAGCCCAAGGUUUCCUUGCGCAACGUUAAUCGGCGCAGGGUGAGUCGGCCCCUAAGGCGAGGACGAAAGUCGUAGUCGAUGGGAAGCAGGUUAAUAUUCCUGCACCUCGCGUAAGUGCGAUGGAGGGACGGAGAAGGUUAGGUGUACCCGGCGUUGGUUGUCCGGGGGAAAGG
rnacentral:rRNA from 1 species